rnacentral:rRNA from 1 species
UACGUAGGGGCUAGCGUUAUUUGGAAUUACUGGGCGUAAAGGGUGCGUAGGUGGUUUCUUAAGUCAGAGGUGAAAGGCUACGGCUCAACCGUAGUAAGCCUUUGAAACUGGGAAACUUGAGUGCAGGAGAGGAGAGUGGAAUUCCUAGUGUAGCGGUGAAAUGCGUAGAUAUUAGGAGGAACACCAGUUGCGAAGGCGGCUCUCUGGACUGUAACUGACACUGAGGCACGAAAGCGUGGGGAGCAAACAGGAUUAGAUACCCUGGUAGUCCCUGA